GCUUAAAGUAUUUAAUAUUCGUUCUGCUUAGUAUGCAUUGUUUAUUUUAUCUCUUCCUUUUAAUGAAAUUUCUUUUCUUACCUAACAGCUCUAGUCAUCCAAUUUUUUUUUCAAGAAUAUGUUUGAUAUUGUUUUUUAGAGAGCUAGUUAUACAAUCUUGAGGAAAUGUAAAAGCACAAAAAAAAACUGUGCAUUGUAUUCUACUCUUCAACGCUGAUUCUAGCACAAAGUCAUUGACUUCUGAUGCAAUUCGCUCUUUGCCAUUCAACAUCACGAAGCCAUCAAGAUUUCCUAUCAAGAUAAAACCAACAUCUUCGUAGCUAGAUGAAAUCAAAAUUUUCUAUGUCAGCGGGGGCAAAGAUCCUCGCAUGUUAUAUCGCCAAAUCACAAUCGUCUUAUAUCGGCGGCUUAAAUCAGAUUUCCGAUGCUUGUAAGAAACAACCGCAACUAUAUAGCCAUGACGAUUUGUCCAUUAAAUUGAUAGUUUGCGAUUUAUGGCCCAGUCCUAAUCAUUGCUUUUCUAUUCGCUGAUCUAUAUCGAUUUUCUAUUCGCUGAUUAUUUUAAAUCUAUGUUGUUAUUUUAAAUCUAUUAACGUAUUGUUUUAAAGGAGGAUCUGUUUUUCCUAAAAAAAGGGACACUGAAAUUUGAUUGUCCGAGAUCCUCAGAACCCAUAGUUUAUAAAAUCUAGCAGAAUCACUACAAAAUAUGCUUUUCUUCCAUGUCAAUUAUAAAACGAAAAGGGAAAAAAAUUCAAACGUAUUUUUUCCGUUUAGUUUUCUCAGAAUUAUUCAUCCCAUAAUAUUAAAAUAUUUCAUGAUAUAAUGAUGUGCUAUUAAUGCAAUCUUUCUUCAAAAUAUAUUUUCCUGCAUGUAGUAACAAAAUAAUUGAAAAGCUCUUAAAGAAAAGCACUCUUGUUUCAGUUUGACUGUACGAACACCUUGUCAGAUCAAGUGUUGGAAAACGUUUAUGUUCAGGUUGACCCCAGUGAAGGUUUUAAAGUGGUUUGUUACUCUCUUUGCUCAAAAUUACAGUACAGUGCUCCUGGUGCAGCAUAUGCCUGCAUCAGCUUACCCAAUGAUCCUUUAGUUGUACUUGGAACAUUGAGUAACACACUAAAGUACUUAGUUAAAAAUUGUGAUUCAAACAAAGGGGGAACCAGAUGAUGAAGAAGGCUAUGAAGAUGAAUAUGUAAUUGAUGCUAUGAAAAAACAGGAAGAAGAACAGGAAAUGGAAUUAAAGAUACAAGAAAAGGAACUGAAUGAAAAGCAUGUGGAAUUGAAUGAGUUAAGGAAAGAAGAGUCCCAAAUGGAAAGCAAACUCAAUUCAAGCAAAACUCAAUUUGAUUUCUUCUUUACAAAGUAGCACCCUUUAGAUAAGCCAAGUAAAUAAUUUUAUAUUACUUAAUAUUGUUUAUUAAAUUUUAGCUUAUUUUUAAAAACACUUGUAAUUAUAAAAGACAAAUAAUCCACUUUAAUGUGAUAACAAUAGUAAAUUAAAAACAAUGCAUGAAAACACAAAUGCAUCAUUCUCGCUUAAUCUAACACAUAUAUUUUCUGCAUUUCAUUCUGCUUAUUUGGUUCGAAGAUUGAGUUUGAGGCACUGAAAUUUAUCCACUGUAAAAAACACAAUAAAUCUUUAUUACUUGUCCCUACUUAUUCAUUUCUUUAUUUUUUA
rnacentral:lncRNA from 1 species